AUUUUCCUGUUUUCAACAGUUGUUGUAACUACGACAACCACAGACGUAUUCGGCUGAAAAUCACAAAUUAAACUGGGUCACUGUAUAAUCCAUAACACCGCAAAUGCUGUUACUUCAAUGUAGCAGUCUGUAGUUUGUAGCCCUGAUGUCGACAAUCUGUGACCGCGGCUGUUGCUUCAGUAAGCUAAAUUCUCCACAUCCUCUAUGGUCUCUGGCAGGGCGACUCCACUCAUCUCAGGCAACCUUGUCACCAAUCCACUGUACAGCACACACAUCACACCUGAAACAAAGAGAAAUAACUUUCUACUAUGACAGAAAAAGAUAUCUGGGGGAUCAGCUGUUAUGUGCGGGACCCAGGCUGGGGAUAGCCUGCUGAAGGGGGGAAAUGCACGGACGUGAGAACCCCUUACGAACCCCCCAUCUGCACGUCAUGGAACAUUUGCAGAACAGGGACCUCCCACCUUAAAGGCGUGCAACUGGGAGCAGACACAACAGUGAGACCUGCCCUGCACCGGACUCACCAUCUUAGGUGACAAAUACACCUCUUUCUAUUGUAGAUCGGCGGAGGGAGAAGAAGCACGUAAUUAACGGCUGUAAAACACAAGUAUGAGCGCGGCGUGUGAAGCAGCGGGGGGCAGCGGCUUACCGGUCACUGUGCAACAUGCAGAUCACUUCAUUUCACCGAUAGUUUUCUCAUGCAUGACAGGCAAUCUUGUUUUCCCGGGUCGCCUGUGCACAGCAGGGUGUAGAUAUCAGUUUUGCUCCGUCAGCGUGCUUAAAAAUGUCACGCAAGGCCAGAGUGUAGUUACACAUGUGAUCAGCAGGGGGCGCUAACAGGA